GAUGAAGAACGCAGCGAAAUGCGAUAAGUAAUGUGAAUUGCAGAAUUCAGUGAAUCAUCGAAUCUUUGAACGCACCUUGCGCUCUUUGGUAUUCCGAAGAGCAUGCCUGUCUGAGUGUCAUGAAAAUAUCAACCUUGACUUGGGUUUUGUGCUCUAGUCUCGGCUUGGAAUUGGGUGCUUGCCGCUUUUACGAGCGGCUCACCUUAAAUGUAUUAGCUGGAUCUGUCUUUGAGACUUGGUUUGACUUGGCGUAAUAAGUAUUUCGCUAAGGACAUUCUUCGGAGUGGCCUCGUUUCUAGGACGCUUGUCCGCUUUCCAAUACAAGUUCCACCUCGUGGACAUGACUUUUUAUUAUCUGGCCUCAAAUCAGGUAGGACUACCCGCUGAACUUAAGCAUAUCAAUAAGCGGAGGA
rnacentral:misc_RNA from 1 species